AUGGGGAGGAAGAAGGGCGCCGUCGGCGGCGCGAAGAGCGUGGCCGUGCCCGUGCCGGCGCAGACGGAGGUGGAGGUUGAGAAGGAGGCCAAGAAAGCGGCUCCGAGGAAGCGCAACCCGUGCCCCGGAAUCCGCGCCGUCGGCGGCCGGAUCUACGACCCGGAGAACGGCAAGACCUGCCACCAGUGCCGUCAGAAAACAACGGACUUUGCGGUGGCCUGCAAGCAGCCCGGGGGGAAGGGGCCCUGCUCAACCCACUUCUGCCACACGUGCCUGUCCAACAGGUAUGGCGAGGACGCGAAGAAGGCGGCCAAGAAGGCGCGCUGGGCCUGCCCUAAAUGCAGGGGCAUCUGCAACUGCAGCUUCUGCAGAAAGAAGAAAGGGGAGACUCCCACGGGGAUACUGGCCCAUGCCGCCAAGGCGACAGGGCACUCUUCCGUCCAUGAGCUGCUGAAACAGGGCUCGGACAUGGUGGCCGCUGCACAGACGCUGACCUCGCUCCCCGCGAAGAUCAAGAAGGAACAAAAGAGGGCCCUAGGGACAGAUGAUGAUGCUGAUGGAAUAGUGGUUCAAGGCGAUGAGAAUGUAGGGACUGAUCUCAAUGCAUUUCCUUCAUCUCCUGCCAACAAGAAGCUGAAGAAGGGCGCUUCUGAUGAGAGCACUGAUGUGCUCAAGACCAAAACUGAGCUACCCAAAGGUACUCUGGUCACUAAUGUUGUAGGGGCCAAGCUGGAGGCCGACGAUGUUGGGUCUGCGAUUCAGUUUUAUGAAUUCUGCCGCACAUUUGCUGAGGUGUUUCAAAUAAAGAAGGGACAGCCUGAAAAAGUUCUUCAACUCAUAACUGGAGGAAGCCGUAAAGGGCGAGUGGUGCCUUCAGUUGUUGCUGAUCUUCACAUUAGUUUGUUGUCUAUCCUCCAAGAAGACAGAGGAGAGAACCCUUUGGACUAUUCAAGAGAUGGGGAUGCUUGGAUAACUGAGACUGGCAGAUAUAUUUGUGAAUCCACAGUUAUCUCGAAGGAACUACCUCUUGACUGUUUAAACCAAGGGGUAUCAGGAUAUAAAAAGUUGAGCCCUUCUUUAAAGCUCCAUGUGCUGAAUUUUCUGUGUGAUGAGACCCUUUCUACUGCAACAUUAAGGGGCUUGAUUGUCAAACAAGAUGAAGGUGCCACUGAGAGAAAGAUUGCUGCAAGAGAAAAAAUCCGUGCUGCGAAGGAAAAGGAAAAAGAGCUUAAAGAAAGACUAAAGAAUGAGAUGGAUAAAUCAAUGUUUCUGAGAAAAGGAGAAGAAAUUAAGAGUCUCAUUUCUCAAAUUAAGGAGUUAAAUGAAGACAAGGAGGCAGCAGUAGAUGAUGAGAAGCUCGGAGAUCUACUUAGGACAAAGCCUGUCAGGAAAGACAAAGGGGUUGCAUACUGGAAGUUUGAUGGUUAUUACAAGAAGACCUCAAUAAUGCGCCAAGAGUUUGACACAACAGGGAACAAUGACAAGUGGUUUAUGUUCACUGAGGAAGAAGAAAAAGUAAUUGGAGAUCAUUUGGCCCCAAGGUCCCAACUUCAGUGCAAGAGUCAUACCCAGGCAUGA
rnacentral:rRNA from 1 species